rnacentral:rRNA from 1 species
CCUACGGGAGGCUGCAGUGAGGAAUAUUGGUCAAUGGACGAGAGUCUGAACCAGCCAAGUAGCGUGAAGGAUGACUGCCCUAUGGGUUGUAAACUUCUUUUAUAUCGGAAUAAAACGUUCCACGUGUGGGAUUUUGUAUGUACCAUAUGAAUAAGGAUCGGCUAACUCCGUGCCAGCAGCCGCGGUAAUACGGAGGAUCCGAGCGUUAUCCGGAUUUAUUGGGUUUAAAGGGAGCGUAGGUGGAUUGUUAAGUCAGUUGUGAAAGUUUGCGGCUCAACCGUAAAAUUGCAGUUGAAACUGGCAGUCUUGAGUACAGUAGAGGUGGGCGGAAUUCGUGGUGUAGCGGUGAAAUGCUUAGAUAUCACGAAGAACUCCGAUUGCGAAGGCAGUUCACUGGACUGCAACUGACACUGAGGCUCGAAAGUGUGGGUAUCAAACAGGAUUAGAUACCCCAGUAGUC